rnacentral:tRNA from 1 species
GGUGAUGUGGCUCAGUGGUAGAGUGCUUGCCUUGCAUGUGCAAGGGCCAGGGUUCAAUCCCCUAACACUG